UGGGGAAUAUUCCGCAAUGGACGAAAGUCUGACGGAGCAACGCCGCGUGAGUGAUGAAGGUUUUCGGACUGUAAAGCUCUGUUGUUUAGGACGAAAGUGCCUGUUGCAAACAGUUACAGGUAUUGACGGUACUAAACGAGGAAGCCACGGCUAACUACGUGCCAGCAGCCGCGGUAAUACGUAGGUGGCAAGCGUUGUCCGGAAUUAUUGGGCGUAAAGAGCAUGUAGGCGGGAAUCUAAGUCUGUUGUGAAAAUGCGGGGCUCAACCCCGUAUUGCGAUGGAAACUGGGUUUCUUGAGUGCAGGAGAGGAAAGGGGAAUUCCCAGUGUAGCGGUGAAAUGCGUAGAUAUUGGGAGGAACACCAGUGGCGAAGGCGCCUUUCUGGACUGUGUCUGACGCUGAGAUGCGAAAGCCAGGGUAGCGAACGG
rnacentral:rRNA from 1 species